rnacentral:lncRNA from 1 species
AUCAAGAGUUCAGAUGGAAGUGUGACUUGGAAGUCUUUGAACAUAUUGAACGAGCAGGUGGACAUGCCCUUAUUCAGAGUGAAAUCUGACCUGAUUUAUUUUAGUUUAAUCCUCUUUCAGAUUGAACUGAGAAGACUUCAGCUGAGCCCACUUCAUUCAUGAACAAGUGAUGGAGGUUGCAUGCAACAACAAAAUCUGUCAUAGGGCCCAAUCUAAGAUCUAUCUGAGCAGAGUCUUAACUGAAAUCCAGUCCAUGCAGAGACACAGAAGAAUUUGUGCUAAUUAUUCCAGAGGUCUGGGCUCCUAUGGUAGCAAGCGGACUCAAGCAGAAGUGUUUGUCCAUUGGAGGAAACACGUGAUGAUCACUUGGAAAAGGAUAGAGUGUCUUGGCUAUCUGGAUUAUCUCCAAAGAUGCUGACUGCAGAGUGGGCUACCUACUAAUUGGGAGUGUCUCUCUCAUUAUCUUUUAACAAUCACAUGCCUCCUACUCCCACCUGACUCACUUUCAAAGACAGCCUGCAUCUACGACAGCACUCUGCUUCCACGGGGCUGGACUCUGAUAUCAGAACUUCUCCACCGUUGUCGUGAGUCAGAGAAAAGGAAAGGCUGGGAGAAGAAGGGACUGAAUUUCUUCCCUUCACCUUCAUUUAAGGGACAAAACAUCAAAGGAAUAGCUGAAAGACACAAUUACAGAAACGCAUUAGUCAUCUAGGGGUGUUUUGUUUAGCUGUUUUGCUAGAAAGCACGAGCUUUUGAAGUCAAAGCUACCUCUAGGCAUUGCUUCCUGCAACGCCUCCAAAAGGAGAUCAACAAUUGCAAAGGCAGCCAAACCAAACCAGGGCUGGGUUUGUAUCACCUAAUUUUAGAUCUCCAUAUUUCUGCAUCUCAGCAUGUCACUCUGGUCUCCCAGUAUUAAUAACCUCUGGGGAACAAGCCAGCAGAGCACAGGACAUCAAUUUGCCACACCCAAGGAAGGUACAGAGUGGCGAUUAUGCCCAGAUUUCACAGGUCACAUUGCCCUGCUCACCAGAGACUGAGAAAGGAGCCUCCAGGGACAUUUUCAUGUGGAAAUGCCUUCAUCAGAAACACAUACACCAAAUCAGAUGAACCCACCCUUGGUUUCCUGAGGAAAACUGUCUCAGGUCUUAGAAUAAACACAGAUGCUCUGAUAUCA